CCUACGGGUGGCAGCAGUGAGGAAUAUUGGUCAAUGGCCGAGAGGCUGAACCAGCCAAGUCGCGUGAGGGAAGACGGCCCUACGGGUUGUAAACCUCUUUUGUCGGGGAGCAAAGAGAGUCACGUGUGACUCAUUGAGAGUACCCGAAGAAAAAGCAUCGGCUAACUCCGUGCCAGCAGCCGCGGUAAUACGGAGGAUGCGAGCGUUAUCCGGAUUUAUUGGGUUUAAAGGGUGAGUAGGCGGAGGUGCAAGUCAGCGGUCAAAUUGCGGGGCUCAACCCCGUACUGCCGUUGAAACUGCAUGCCUUGAGUGCGCGAGAAGUAUGCGGAAGGCGUGGUGUAGCGGUGAAAUGCAUAGAUAUCACGCAGAACUCCGAUUGCGAAGGCAGCAUACCGGCGCGCAACUGACGCUCAUGCACGAAAGCGUGGGUAUCGAACAGGAUUAGAUACCCGAGUAGUC
rnacentral:rRNA from 1 species